CCAGCGCGGGUCUCCUCGCGUAGUGGGCUCAAAGUAGGUGGCCUACGCACCGCUUUGGUUGCCUUUAUCUCAUCCACGGGACGCCCUCCUCCACUCAUUUUUCCAACCCAAACACAAUCUAUCUUCCUCUUUCUCUGUGCUUCCUCCAAAUAACACAAAUCCAUGGCAAAAUAAAUCAUGCACAGCUUGCAGCUCCGGCGAGACUAGCAUCUGCUGGUCGCGGACACGCGCAGCUCGCGCUUUGCCCCAGUAGCACGCCGCGUGCAGCUCUGGCGAGGGCAGCAUCUACUCGCCGUGGCCUUCCCCAGCAGAUGGCUUGCUGCAGACGAAGAUCUGCGCGCCCCGCUCCGCUCGCAGGAGAGGGCAACCACCAACAGAAGAUGAUGCAACCUCGGCUCGGCAGAGCUACAAGCAUAGGCUCGCGGAGCUGCAACCAGCCACACAAAUGCUGAAACCGGCGACGGCCGUGCUGCGACGGCUUCGGCGGCGAUCCAGCUUUGCUGGAACAAGCUACUUUUUUUUGCUGGAACCAUCAUCAAUUUUUGCUACCACCCACCCGCCCAAAUUUUUGCUACUAGGUGAUUUUUGCUGCAACCGAUGAACCAUUUUGCUACAACCGUUUCGAUUUUUUGUUACUAUCGGUGUUUGUGGAUUUUUGCUACAUCCAUCUUCUGUUUUUCCUAUCUUUUUUGUUACAACCAUAUUUUGAUUUUGCUGGAACUGAAGACAAUUUUUGCUACAUCCACCCACGGCGGUGUUGCUCAACGGCGGCAAUGGUUGUUAUUUUGCUACAACUGUCUUGAAUUUUUGCUACUACCGGAGAUGCCAUUUGCUACCACCGGAGUUUUUGCUAUGGUAAAUGUUUACAGCCGGACGGCCGGCUAAGUUUUGGGCCGGUCGCGCGUGACGCGCGUCCCAUGUGGACCCACAUCCAAACUGCCACGCACUUCUCUUGCUUCCGUUCUUAUCCUUUCGCUUUUAUCUCUUCCUCCAUCGUUCUUUUCUUUUUCUCUCUCCCAUCGUUCCCCAUCUCUCUCAAGCCAUCGAUGGAGCACCUCUCUUUUCGAUCCGCCGGCUUGGUUCUCCGGCGUGCUCCCUUCCCACUAUAACCCUCUUAUCCAAUGCGAGCUCCUCCAUUCUCUUCCCUCCCUCCCUCCUACUUCAUCAGCCCUCAUUUUUCUAUUGCGUGCUGCAAGGGCCGGAAGCGCAGAUGCUGCGCCCAGGCGACCAUCCCUGCAAACGGCGAGCCAGGGGACACCGAUGAUGCAACCGGUUUCGCGGGCUGCUACAACCGGCAUCGUGUGGUGCUACUACCAGCACCGCGGGGAGCUGGAACUGGUUACACCAAAGCUGCGACGACACGUCGCUGUUUGCUGGAACCGGCACUCCGAGGAGCUGCAACCAGCUUACAUAUAGCUGCAACCAGCAAUCUGCGGUGCUACAACCAACAGAGGGCGGCGGGCAAGAGAGGUCCACAACGACGGCGAGCCAGGGGCAGCGGUGUCGUGCUAUAUUGGGUGGUGUGAGUUGCUGGAACCGGCGUAUGGCAGAGCUGCAUCCGGCAAGGGCGGUUGAAACGACAGCGAGAUGAGGAAGGCGUGUGAUGGCGAAUUCGGGCUGCGGAGAGAGCGGCAAGCAGUGGUGAUCCAGCGGGCAGCGGUGAUCCGGCAAGCGGCGAAGAUUCGACAGGUCAUGGGGCCCGUCCAUGGCGCUCGCGCCUCUGUAGGUGCUCCCGUGAUUUUCAAGGGAAAAUAAAAGGAAACAUUGAUCGGGACGAAAGGGUCAUGUAUCUGACGGUUAAAAGGGGUGUCUCGGACGUCCCGGAUGCGACCGGCCCAAAUUUGGGCCGGCGCACCGGCGCCUAUGAGUGCCCUUUUGCUAUUACCAGUCUUCCUGUAAGCAUUAGGAGUUUUUGCUACCACCCUUUGUUUUUGUUGGAACCAUUCUAAAAAUUUGUUACCAACGUCUUUUGAUUUUUCUGGAA